AUUGACAGCUGGCGGCAGGCCAAACACAUGCCAGUCGCGCGGAGAGGCGGACGGGUGAGUAAUGCCUAGGAAUCUGCCUGGUAGUGGGGGAUAACGUCCGGAAACGGGCGCUAAUACCGCAUACUAUCAGAUGAGCCUAGGUCGGAUUAGCUAGUUGGUGGGGGAAAGGCCUACCAAGGCGACGCUCCGUAACUGGUCUGAGAGGAUGAUCAGUCAACCUGGAACUGAGACACGGUCCAGACUCCUACGGUAGGACGCAUUGGGGAAUAUUGGACAAUGGGCGAAAUCCUGAUCCAGCCAUGCCGGGUGUGUGAAGAAGUUCUUCGGAUUGUAAAGCACUUUAAGUUGGUAGGCGUUACCAACAGAAUAAGCACCGGAUAACUUUGUGCCAGCAGCCGCGGUAAUAC
rnacentral:rRNA from 1 species